rnacentral:rRNA from 1 species
AUUGAACGCUGGCGGCAGGCCUAACACAUGCAAGUCGAGCGAGCGGCGGACGGGUGAGUAAUGUAUGGGGACUGCCCGAUAGAGGGGGAUAACUAUUGGAAACGGCGGCUAAUACCGCAUACUAUCGGAUAACCCAUAUGGGAUUAGCUAGUAGGUGGGGUAAAGGCCCACCUAGGCGACGAUCUCUAGCUGGUCUGAGAGGAUGAUCAAGCUCACAGGGACUGAGACACGGCCCAGACUCCUGCGGAGGCAACAGUGGGGAAUAUUGCACAAUGGGCGCAAGCCUGAUGCAGCCAUGCCGCGUGUAUGAAGAAGGCCUUAGGGUUGUAAAGUACUUUCAGCGGGGAAGCGUUACCCGCAGAAGAAGCACCGGCUAACUCCGUGCCAGCAGCCGCGGUAAUUC